GCAUUUGUUUUGCAACCUCGCGUUCGGCCGGUUUCCAAUUGCCUCUGGUUUUGCAUUCAUUGCCAGGGGGACAAAGGCGCCAUGGGGAUCCCCGGACGGCCGGGACUAAAAGGGCCGCCCGGAGAGAAGGGCGCGCCGGGAGAAGCCGGCAUGUCCAUCAUCGGGCCCCGCGGGCCGCCCGUAAGUGGCUCUUUGCUCUAUUUUUUGACGGAUGCAGGGUGUGGGCACGCUACAGGGAAGGACU
rnacentral:lncRNA from 1 species